GCCGGCGGUAGCUCAACUGGUGAAAGAGCUAGAGUACCAUCUGCAGGUCGUGGGAUCGAAUCCCGCCGGCCGUCA
rnacentral:tRNA from 1 species